UUUCACACUAUCACAGUUUGUUUCGUUUCAGUCAAUACACCAAAUAAUUGAUUGUUUUCAGUGUAUUUAAUUUUUCUUGGGACACACUGAUACCUACCAAGCAAUAUGCCGAAGAAAGGUGAAGAAGACAAGGAAUUGCAAUACCUCAUGGUGGAUCGUGGAGCCAUCAACGAUCCUGCCAUGCAGGCUGAUUGGACAGCGAAAAAGCUUGUCUGGGUCCCUUCCGCAGAUAAGGGUUUUGAAGCUGCCAGUUUGAAAGGGGAAAAGGGAGAUCAAGUUCUCGUCGAAUUGGUUGAAACAUCAAAGAAAGUCUACUUUCCAAAAGACGAUGUGCAGAAAAUGAAUCCUCCAAAAUUUACAAAAGUGGAAGAUAUGGCAGACUUAACAUGCCUUAACGAAGCGUCUGUUCUACAUAAUCUCAAAGAUAGAUAUUACUCUGGCCUCAUUUAUACAUAUUCUGGUUUGUUUUGCGUUGUCAUCAAUCCCUACAGGUUUUAUCCUAUUUACACUGAUAAAGUUAUCGACUUAUACAAGGGCAAGAAACGUCAUGAAGUGCCUCCCCAUGUUUUUGCAAUCACAGAUACUGCAUACAGAAGUAUGCUUCAAGAUCGUGAGGAUCAGUCUAUUCUUUGCACUGGCGAGUCUGGUGCAGGAAAGACUGAAAACACCAAAAAGGUCAUUCAAUACCUCGCGCACGUUGCAGCGUCUCACAAAGGCGCGAAAGUAUCCCAUGGCGGCACCGGACCAGAAUUCAAGCAGAACUUAUCUUACGGUGAGCUUGAGCAGCAAUUGUUGCAAGCCAACCCCAUUUUGGAAGCUUUUGGUAACGCAAAGACAGUAAAGAAUGACAACUCUUCCCGUUUCGGUAAAUUCAUCAGGAUUAACUUUGAUACUUCUGGAUACAUCGCUGGUGCAAAUAUCGAGACAUAUCUUCUUGAGAAAGCUCGUGUUAUCCAGCAAGCUGGCGGUGAAAGAACAUUCCAUAUUUUCUACCAAAUGCUGUGUGGUGCCAAUAGUGAACUCAAAAAGGAACUUCUUCUUGAAGACAUCAGCAAAUAUCGACUCAUUUCUAACGGAAUGCAAACUCUCCCUGGAACCAAGGAUGCCGACAUAUUCCAAGAAACUCUUGCUGCUAUGGAGAUCAUGAACAUUUCUCCUACAGAUGUUAAAAGUAUGCUGAAGGUUGUAAGCAGUGUUAUGCUUUUCGGUAACAUGGAAUUCAAAAAGGAAAGAAGUUCUGACCAAGCCACAAUGCCCGAGAACACAGUCGCUCAACGUCUUUGUGCUCUGCUCGGAAUGAGCGUCGUGGACUUCACCAAAGCAUUGCUGAAACCCAAAAUCAAAGUGGGACGUGAUUUCGUACAGAAAGCACAAACAAAGGAACAGGUUGACUUUGCCGUUGAGGCCCUUGCCAAGGCAAUUUACGAACGACUUUUCCGUUGGUUGGUUCAUCGCAUCAAUCGUUCUCUUGAUCGUUCUACCAGACAGGGAGCUUCAUUCAUCGGUAUUUUGGAUAUCGCUGGAUUUGAGAUCUUCGAGGCGAACAGUUUUGAGCAGCUUUGUAUCAACAUGACGAACGAAAAACUGCAGCAGCUAUUCAACCACACCAUGUUUAUCCUGGAACAGGAAGAAUAUCGUCGUGAAGGAAUUGAAUGGAAAUUUAUUGAUUUUGGUCUGGAUUUGCAACCUUGCAUCAACCUGAUUGAGAGCCCAUCUAAUCCUCCUGGUAUCCUUGCAUUGUUGGAUGAAGAAUGUUGGUUCCCUAAAGCAACAGAUAAAUCUUUCGUUGAAAAAUUGGUCAAAGAACAAGGAAACCAUCCCAAGUUCCAGAGAUCAAAAACAUUGAAGGACAAGAGUGAUUUUAUCAUCAUUCACUACGCUGGAAAGGUGGAAUACACUGCUGCACGAUGGCUGAUGAAAAACAUGGAUCCGUUGAAUGACAAUGUAACAGAUCUCCUUCAUAAUUCUAAUGAUGAAUUUGUCGCUGGAUUGUGGAAAGACAUGUCCAAGGUUGUUGGUAUGGAAAAUCUUGUCGGCAGCGAAAAGCCUUUCGGAUCUUCCACUUACAAGACUCGUAAGGGUAUGUUCCGUACUGUCGGGGCUUUGUACAAGGACCAACUGAGUCGUCUGAUGACAACUCUACGUAACACCAACCCUAACUUCGUGAGAUGUAUCAUUCCAAACUACGAGAAGAAACCAGGCAAGAUUAUUGCUCAUCUUGUACUUGAACAACUCAGAUGCAAUGGUGUGUUGGAAGGAAUCAGAAUCUGCAGACAAGGUUUCCCCAACAGAAUCCAGUUCCAAGAAUUCCGUCAACGAUAUGAAAUUCUCACACCAAACAUUUUGCCAAAAGGUUUUAUGGAUGGAAAGAAAGCUGCUGUUAUGAUGCUUGAAGAAUUGGACCUGGAUGAGAAUCUUUUCCGUAUUGGUCAGAGUAAAAUCUUCUUCAGAGGAGGUGUACUCGCUCAUCUUGAGGAAGAAAGAGAUCUUCGUCUCACAGAUAUCAUCAUACAAUUCCAGGCUGCUUGCCGCGGAUUCCUUGCACGAAAAUUGUUUGCCAAAAGAAAGGAUCAACUCCGUGCCAUCAGAGUUAUUCAAAGAAAUGGUCUUGCUUAUCUCAAACUUAGAAAUUGGCCAUGGUGGAGACUUUUCACAAAGGUCAAGCCACUCUUGGAUGUCACUCGACAAGAAGAAGAUUUGCACGCUAAAGAGAAGGAAUUGAAAUCUGUGAUGGAAAAGAGAGAUCAACUUGAGAAAGAUCUUCAUGACACUGAAAAGAAAUACGCUCAAGUUUGCGAAGAGAAAAACACUCUCGUUGAUCAACUUGCUCAAGAACAAGAGAUCUGUCAAGAGGCAGAAGACAUGAGAGCAAGACUUGCUGCGAAAAAGCAAGAACUCGAGGAGAUCCUUCGUGAGAUGGAGACUAGGAUUGAUGAGGAAGAAGAGAGAAAUGAACAGGUUUUGGCUGAAAAGAAAAAGCUUCAGGUCUACGUCAAUGAUCUUGAAGACAAUUUAGAAAAAGAAGAAGCUGCUCGUCAGAAACUUCAACUCGAGAAAGUUGGCAAUGAAGCAAAGAUAAAGAAACUUGAAGAAGAACUCACCAUGACUGAUGACAACCUCGGCAAGAUUGUCACUGCACGAAAAGCACUCGAAGAAAGAGUGAGCGAACUCCAGUCUAAAUUAGCUGAGGAAGAAGACAAAGCGAAAACAUACGGAAAACAAAAUCAUAAGUAUGAGCAAAUCAUCGCCGAUCUUGAGGAACGUUUGAGAAAAGAAGAAAAACUCAGAAUGGAACUUGAGAAGGUUAAGAGGAAGUUGGAAGCUGAGAUUGCAGAAUUGAAAGAUCAAAUUCAAGAAUUGGAAUUGCAAAGAGAUGAAUUGAAAUCUCAAAAUCUGAGAAAGGAUGAAGAAAUUUCCAAACUCAAUGAAAAGUUUGAUGAAGAACAGACUGCCAGAGCUCACCUUGCCAAAGAACUGCGUGAAACAGAGAACGCAAAACAAGAACUCACAGAAGAUCUUGAUGCAGAAAGAGCAGCGAGAUCCAAAGCUGAGAAACAGAAGAGAGAUCUCAGUGAGGAACUGGAAGCUUUGAAGUCUGAAUUAGAAGAUUCUCUUGAUACAACUGCAGCACAACAAGAAGCAAGAGCUAAGAGAGAACAAGAUCUUGAACAGCUGAAGAGAACAUUGAAAGAUGAGGCGUCUACUCAUGAACAGCAAGUGCAAGACAUGAGAAAGAAACACACUCAACAGAUCGACGAAAUGCAAGAUGAAAUUGAUUCCUUCAAAAAGUCCAAAACCAGCUUGGAAAAAUCGAAAGCCUCUUUGGAGAAUGAAAACGCAGAUCUUGCAGAUGAAUUGAGAAUUCUAACACAAGGCAAGACUGAUUCAGAAAGCAAACGUCGCAAGCAAGAGAAUUAUAUUCAAGAAAUUUCUGCCAAACUUCAAGAUACAGAAAGACAACGUAAUGAUUUGCAAGACAAGUACAGUAAAUCCCAGUCUGAAUUGGAGACAGUUUCUCACAAUGUUGAGGAAUUGGAGACACAACUCUCAAGAUCUCAGAAAGAAGCCUCACAACUGGAUACUCAACUUUCCGAGCUCUCGGCCCAAGUGCAAGAGGAGACUUCAUCAAAACUCAAGCUUUCUUCGCAAAUCCGUGCACUCGCAGAUGAAAGAGCUUCUCUCGAAGAGCAACUUGAGGAAGAAGAGGAAGCUCGUAAAGCAGUCGAGAAACAACUCGCAGUGUCAAAUUCAACCGUUGCUGAGUUGAAGAAAUCAAUGGAAUCCGAUACAGAAGCCAUUGAUCAUUUGGAAGAAUCAAAGAAGAGAUUGCAGAGGGAAUUGGAAGAAAAAACUCAACUCUUGGAAGAUAAAAUGUCUUCUAACGAAAAGCUGGACAAGACCAACAAACGUCUCCAACUCGAAGUUGAUGAUGUCUCUUUGGAGCUCGAUCGUUACCGACAACAAUUAUCUCAAAUGGAAAAGAAACAACGCCAAUUCGACAAAUCUCUUGCCGAUGAGAAACUCAUUUCUGCCAAAUACUCCGAAGAAAGGGAUAACGCUGAACGUAGCGCUCGCGAAAAAGAAACCAAAGCGAUUUCAUUGCAACAUCAAUGUGAGGAAUUCCAAGAUAAGAUCGAAGAAUUGGAGAGAAUCCGCAGAACACAACAAGCUGAACUUGAUGAGCUUGUCAGCUCUACUGAUGCUACUGGCAAGAAUGUCCACGAGCUUGAAAGACAGAAGAGAGCGCUAGAUAGCCAACUCGAUGAGAUGAAAACUCAACUUGAGGAGCUGGAAGAUGAGCUCCAGGUCACAGAGGAUGCCAAACUUCGCAUUGAAGUUAAUCUUCAAGCUGCCAAAGCUGGAUAUGAACGAGAUCUUGCUGCAAGAGAAGAACAAUCUGAAGAGAAACGUAGACACAUCGUUAAACAGCUCCGUGAUAUGGAACUCGAGCUUGAAGAAGAAAGAAAACAGAAAUCUUCUGCUGUUGCUGCCAAGAAGAAGAUCGAAAUGGAUUAUGCUGAUUUGGAAGGAAACUUAGAUGCUGCAGCUAAAGCUAAGGAAGAUGCUUACAAACAAUUGAAGAAGGCACAGGCUCAAAUGAAAGAAUACCUUCACGAUCUUGAGGAUGUUCGUGCUUCUCGUGACGAGCUCGCUACUGCUUCUCGAGAAUUUGAGAAGAGGGCUAAAAACAAGGAUGCUGAGAUUCUUCAGCUACAAGAAGAUCUUGCAAGUGCAGAACGGGCUCGUAAAAACGCUGAACAGGAAAGAGAUGAUCUGCAGGAUGAAAUUCAAUCCGGAACUAAAGACAAAUCUCUGCAACAAGAAGAACGCAGACGUCUCGAAAAUAUCAUCAGUGAAUUGGAAGACGAGAAGGAAGAAUUGGAACAAACCGUUGAAUUCAGCGAAGAGAAAAUGCGAAAAUCCGUCGCCCAAGUCGAUCAAUUACAAAACGAAUUGGCAAUGGAACGUUCCGCGACACAGAAAGCAGAGAAUUUGAGAUCACAACUCGAUCGCCAAAACAAAGAACUCAAGAUCAAGUUGUCGGAAAUGGAACAAAUGGUCAGGACCAAACAAAAGAAUGCCAUCGCUUCUCUCGAAUCAAAGAUUGCCAAUCUCGAAGACCAAUUAGAGGCUGAAACUAAGGAAAGAGCAGGAGCUUUCAAACAAGUUCGCAGAUCCGAGAAGAAGAUGAAAGAACUGAUGAUGCAGAUUGAAGAUGAACGCAGAACCGCUGAUCAACAUAAAGAACAGGCGGACAAACUGAACACUCGUCUCAAGGGAUUGAAACGCCAGCUCGAUGAUGCAGAGGAGGAAGUAUCUCGUGCCAAUGCGGGCAAACGUAAGAUGCAACGCGAGCUCGAUGAUGCUACUGAACUCACUGAACAGUUGCAGCGUGAAGUCAACCAACUCAGAAAUAGAAUGAGCUCCAACAUAAAAGAUACUGGUGCAAAAUCAUCGAGGCGUGACAGAGGUGCUGGGGGUGGUGGAUACAAAGGCAAGCUAUCAAAGACGCCGUCAAAAUCUGCGAUGGACAACGGCUCUGGGGACGAAGAAGAAGAGUAAAAUACAAAACACAUUCACAUUUUUCUAAUCACAUGCACAUGACAAACAUACAUUUAUGUGUUAAUAUGCAUUUUGAUCGACGCUUUUUCUCCCAAAAAAAUUAUCUCAUAUUCGCUUUAACUCGUGAUUCAAGCUUGUUUUUUUUGCUCAGCAUUAUAUAUAUAUUAUAUACUAUAUCUCUAAUGAAGAAAUUCAAUAGGUGUGCUGUAUGUAUCCGUAUUUAACCAGUGUAUAAUUCUUUUUGUAAAUAUAGAAGAAGUUGCUUGUCACAUGAGUAAAAAUUUAUUACUAUUUUACUGUAUUAUGCUGUAUAAAUCAACUAAUUUUUCUCCGCACACACACAUACAUUGCACAUUGAUUACAUGAAGAUUGAUUCAAACAUCAAAAACCUCGUCAUAUUGACCUUGGAAUGUCCGUCUCACCUUCAUAAGAUAGACGAGGUGGUGACACAGGUUACCGAUCUUCCAAAUCCCGAUAUCGUCAUGCUUUAGAUUCUACGAAUGACACUGAUGAAACCGAGAGCCAGGGUACUGAAGGUCCCACAGGAGAUGAAUAGGUCGCAUGGACGUCUGUGUGUCAUCUGGAUAUCGAGACACGAGUCUCAACUGAAGGAAAAUGAGCAGUGCGUGUAUUGUGUGUGCUAUCUUAAAAUUUUUGUCACAUUCCAUAUGUGUUUGUAUACUUGUUCUAUAUUCUGUCGCAUUGAUUUGUCGACAAGAGAUCACAUACCGGAAGUAUUGGCCAUGCUGAUUGCUGCUUAAUGCACAGAUUAUACUAUACAGAAAUUUUUGCGGCAGUCAAUCUCCGCUUUUGCUUUAUAACCUCUUUCUUGUAAAUAGAUAGCAAUCGUUUGUUUUUCGUCUUUUUCGUGGAAUUUGCAUCCUUUACAAAGAGUGCCUUUCUUCCUUUUACAAGUGUUUCAAAUAUGUCUGAUUAUCAACCCGUGAUUGAGUUUGAUUUGAAUCCCUCAACGUAUCACGUCGGGAUUGAUUUGUUGUAUAUAACUUUGUGUUGCGAUCUAGAUAAAAUCAAUAGCUCUGGUGAUAAUAUUUUGUAAUCGUAUAUAGUUUUUCCUUUUUUGUAAUAAUCUACAUAGUGGCUUGAAGUACCUGCUUAGGCGUCCUCUCCUUUCCGGACUAUGUUCCCAUAUGUGUGCAUGUGUAACACAGCUGUGCUUACGUAUAAUUUUGUGUGCCUAAUCGUUUAUAAUAUAUUUUGUGUAUGUGUCACAUAUAUACUAUACACAACAGUGCAAGAACCUAUUAUACUCUGUGUAUGUACGUAACUGCUUUAGCGCUUAUGUAAGCGCUUGCACAACUAUUGUAUCUCUUGUUAUAUACCAGCAUCGACCAUAACUGAUUUUGUAAAUAUUAUCCUAAUUGAAAUAGAAUAUUGACAAAAGUGGAUUUGACAUAAUCGCAAUCAUAUUGUAAUUUUCAGGACAUAAUUCUUACAAAACAAUUUUUAAACUUGCCUCUUCGAAAUUUCCAGAAUAAAGUUUCUACUUGGUGUUGCAGUGUUGUUAGCUCAUGAUAAUGUUGCCUGAUACAACUCUCUGAAUCCAUUGUUGAAGACCGGUAAUUCGCUCUUAUACUUGCUUCCUGUAACUGAAUGCAUAUUUUCUGCCCUUUGUGUUAUCUUGUACAUACUUUUCACAAGUAAUCAGCUGAUUUUGCGUAAUUAUUAUUAACCUUUAAGCGACAAGAGAAUGAUAUUUGUUAUAACUUGAUGAAGAAGUCAAAAUAUAUUGUGAAUUAUCAAAUUCUAUAAUGAGCUAUGACUUAGUAGAUUUACCAGUAAUAUUAAAUAAUAUUAUCAAUGUGUAUUUACAUAGAAAACGCAAACAAAUAAAACACCAAUGAAUA